rnacentral:rRNA from 1 species
UACGGAAGGCAGCAGUGGGGAAUAUUGCACAAUGGGCGCAAGCCUGAUGCAGCCAUGCCGCGUGUAUGAAGAAGGCCUUCGGGUUGUAAAGUACUUUCAGUCGUGAGGAAGGUGUUAAGGUUAAUAACCUUAGCAAUUGACGUUAGCGACAGAAGAAGCACCGGCUAACUCCGUGCCAGCAGCCGCGGUAAUACGGAGGGUGCGAGCGUUAAUCGGAAUUACUGGGCGUAAAGGGCACGCAGGCGGUUAAUUAAGUUGGAUGUGAAAUCCCCGGGCUUAACCUGGGAAUGGCAUUCAAGACUGGUUAGCUAGAGUCUUGGUAGAGGGGGUAGAAUUCCAUGUGUAGCGGUGAAAUGCGUAGAGAUGUGGAGGAAUACCGGUGGCGAAGGCGGCCCCUGGGACAAAGACUGACGCUCAUGUGCGAAGCGUGGGGAGCGAAACAGGAUUAGAUACC